rnacentral:rRNA from 1 species
AUUGAACGCUGGCGGCAUGCCCUACACAUGCAAGUCGAACGGCAGCACGGGGGCAACCCUGGUGGCGAGUGGCGAACGGGUGAGUAAUGCAUCGGAACGUGCCCAGUAGUGGGGGAUAACCAGUCGAAAGACUGGCUAAUACCGCAUACGACCCAGGGGUGAAAGCGGGGGACCGUAAGGCCUCGCGCUAUUGGAGCGGCCGAUGUCUGAUUAGCUAGUUGGCGGGGUAAGAGCCCACCAAGGCGACGAUCAGUAGCUGGUCUGAGAGGACGACCAGCCACACUGGGACUGAGACACGGCCCAGACUCCUACGGGAGGCAGCAGUGGGGAAUUUUGGACAAUGGGCGCAAGCCUGAUCCAGCCAUGCCGCGUGCGGGAAGAAGGCCUUCGGGUUGUAAACCGCUUUUGGCAGGAACGAAACGGCGCAGGCCAAUACCUUGCGCUAAUGACGGUACCUGCAGAAUAAGCACCGGCUAACUACGUGCCAGCAGCCGCGGUAAUAC